ACCCCCCCCAUCAAUCGCUCCAAUUUUGAAAUCCGAAGAUAACUGUCUUCUUAGAUUUUGCACCAUGUCGUUUGGCACAAAGUGACAGACGUUUCAGAGUUAGUUCCUACCUCAGUGAUGAGGGUGAUGUGAAAGAUGAAGUGUGUCUGAAAUGUGAGUCAGUAUUUGCAAGACUACAUGGUACAAUAUCCCAGCAUUCUGUAUGGGUGUGAAACUUCGUCUCUGUGGAGUGUAUACUGAGGAUGUGUGAGAACAGCGUGCUGAACAGAAUAUUGGGAACAAAAAUAGAUAAAAUACUUGGAGGCUGGAGAAGUAGCUAAAAAGGAUCUUCAUAAGUUGUACUCCUCACCAAAUAUAAUUAGACUGAUAAGUCAAGGAACAUAAGAUGGGCAUGUACCCCACAUGGAAGAGAAGUUGAAUGCAUACAGGAUUUUGGCGGACUGAGUGGCUGGCUGUGGUGGAUGACCAGAAGGAAAUAGACCACUUAGAAGACCUAGACGUAGGUGGGAGGAUAAUAUUAAACUGGAUCUUAGAGAAAUAAAAUGCGGUAUUAUGGAAUGGAUUCUCCUGUCUCAGAAUAGGAACCAGUGGCUGACUCUUGUGAACACGGUAAUGAACCUUCGGGUUUCGUAAAAUGUUGGGAAUUUCUUGUGUGACUGAGCGACUUUGGUUACACAGGAAGGACUCGGCUCCAUGGAGUACGAGCGACAUCUUUGCGUCCAGCCUGGAAUUUGUGUGUACUUACUUCGAGUAAAUAAGUCCAACAGCUAUAUUCACAUUUAAACAGGGCAGUUGUGACAUCUGUCGGGUUGUACAGUUUUGUGCUUUCAAAAAGGUCAGUUGAUAGCCAUCGCUAUGACGCUAUGAAAGUAAGGGAACGCAUUCGAAGAUCCAACGCCGGGGAGUACGACAGUGGUUCAAGG